rnacentral:snoRNA from 1 species
ACGACCUUACUUGAACAGGAUCUGUUCUAUAGGCUCGUACCUCUGUGUCCUUGAGACCUAAGGAGACAGGAACCAAAGUCUGGUGGAUGAACCAUGGCCGUGUAACCAGAGCGUGAUUAACGGCUCUUCUGGGUCCUGCUUGGAUCCAUUUGAGCUGUAGAGGAUCGUUCUCAGCCCACUGGGGCUGGGAUGGUCACACGGCUGUCUGACAGACU